rfam:Enterocytozoon bieneusi H348 ctg01_168, whole genome shotgun sequence.
GGGGUCUUAGCUCAGUGGGAGAGCAUCGCACUGAAGAUGCGGCGGUCCCGGGUUCAAUCCCCGGAGACCCCA